UACAGAGGGGGCAAGCGUUGUUCGGAAUUAUUGGGCGUAAAGGGCGCGUAGGCGGCUUUUCAAGUGACGGGUGAAAUCCCUCGGCUUAACCGAGGAACUGCCUGUCAGACUGGAAGGCUUGAGACCGGGAGAGGUGAGUGGAAUUCCCAGUGUAGCGGUGAAAUGCGUAGAUAUUGGGAGGAACACCAGUGGCGAAGGCGGCUCACUGGACCGGUACUGACGCUGAGGCGCGAAAGCGUGGGGAGCAAACAGG
rnacentral:rRNA from 1 species